rnacentral:rRNA from 1 species
AAUAUUUGACAAUGGGGGCAACCCUGAUCCAGCCAUGCCGCGUGUGUGAAGAAGGUCUUCGGAUUGUAAAGCACUUUAAGUUGGGAGGAAGGGCUUUAGGCUAAUACCCUGAAGUUUUGACGUUACCAACAGUAUAAGCAGCGGCUACCUCUGUGCUAGCAGCCGCGGUAAUACAGCGGGUGCAAGCGUUAAUCGGAAUUACUGGGCGUAAAGCGGUCGGAGGUGGUUCAGUAAGAUGGGUGUGAAAUCCCCGGGCUUAACCUGGGAACUGCUUUCAUAACUGGUGAGCUAGAGUACGGUAGAGGGUAGUGGAAUUUCCUGUGUAGCGGUGAAAUGCGUAGAUAUAGGAAGGAACACCAGUGGCGAAGGCGACUACCUGGACUGAUACUGACACUGAGGUGCGAAAGCGUGGGGAGCAAAC